CGGAGCCAAAACAGGAGUCGCGCGACUUUAGGCCUGGUUUUCAGGCGGGCCAUUGGCAAAACCAAGAGAGCUGCUGGGGGGCGAGCGCACAGGUCAACGUUCGAGAUCCGUCUGUCACAGUGGUGGGGGUGCUCGCUCGCCUUCCACGCUAGCCGGGUCUGUUUGGAGCCCCCUAGAAACAAUAGGCAAAUAAUGUGGCUUUCGCUCUGCUUCCCGAGCUCCCGGUAGAACGGCAAGGGGCACCUGCUCACGGAAGAGUGGUUCCCGUGGCGCCGGCCUGAACAGACCUGGUAUCACUUGAACACAACCAUGCUUUUAGAAGCGGACUACCACGAACGAACGUGGACGCAACCAGUGAACAGAAAUGUGUGUGCUGCCAUUAACGCGAGUGUAACGGAAAACUCGCGCUACUGCGUUUUUGUUGGUCGCAGGGAAAGAGUAUGCUUGCAAACGUCUGAGUCUUUCGUCCGCAGCCGCGUCCUUUAUUUCACUAUGCCGGGAGGUUUUCUUCGUAGCCAUAGAGGUGAGAAGCCAGUAAUUGUUUACCAAAUGGAGUCCUAAACUGGCUUCCGUUCUUAGCAUUCCUUUUUAUAGAUUGUUCUUUACGUAAGUAGAAGUGAAUGAAAGGGAUUCUACCAUCGUGUCACGGAAUUGCUUGAAUCCCUUCUGAAUUGUUUGCCAAAAAUAUAAAGCAAGGAAAAAUACAACGCUCUAUCGCGAUUUUAUGGUACCCUGGCUUUCCCAACACGUGUAUUUCAAAUUGUCGGAUUGUUUGGCGCCUUGAGGUUUUUACCGUAAUAAGAAUUUAUAACAAGCAAGAGGUAUACCUUCCUCUUGUAAAUAGUGAGAUGGGAGGUAAGAAAGGACAAAAGGACAUAAUGUCUUGACAGCUAAGCCACAAAUCAGUUUAGAAAAGAUAACGUGCAAGUUGAGGAUCUGGAAAUUCAUUUUAAAACUAUUUGUGCCUGAGCACCUCUUGGAAAUUCUUCUUGUAUCCCCAGGAGCACGCAUAUCCUUUUGAAUACCUCAGAUCUCAAUCCCUUAUGUGAGAAUCCCAUACAAGUGCCUACCCAGACCCAUGUGUCUUUCGAAGAAAACCAGAGUGAGCACAUUGCCCAUACACGUUGCAGCUUUUCAGCUUUAUGGAGAAGCAGAGAGAUCACCGAAGAGCAAUACAGACCAAGAAAAGGGGACUAAACUUACUUCAAGGAAGAUCUUUUAACCGGACUCUUCUGAUCUUAUCCUCCUAUUUAACAGAAAUGCCCUCAAGGAGAUGAAACUAUACUGAUAAGCCCUUUGGCGAACAUGCCUAGGGACCAUCCCCCACCUUAAAAACUCUACCUUUUGAAGUAUCAGUAUUCUGAUCACCCAAAAGCAAUGGCAUCCUCUGUGUCCUAAUUGACAUUCUUCCCCCUUCAAGUCAAUGUGUGUCUUUAAUAUGGGCUUCUAGGGAAAAUGCUUUUAACUCAAGGAGCAAUUAGAAUGGAAGGCAAAGAUGUCUUGGGAGGUUUUGGUGUCCUGGUGCCUAAAACUAGGAGUCAGAAAAACCCAAGUUCUUGACUUGGCAGAGAGAUGACAAGACCCCCAGGAGAAAAGUUGGGGUGGGUGGGGAGUUGCUUGGGAGUCACA